AUUGAACGCUGGCGGAAUGCUUUACACAUGCAAGUCGAACGGCAGCACGGGGGCAACCCUGGUGGCGAGUGGCGAACGGGUGAGUAAUACAUCGGAACGUGCCCGGUCGUGGGGGAUAACGUAGCGAAAGUUACGCUAAUACCGCAUACGAUCUGAGGAUGAAAGCGGGGGACCUUCGGGCCUCGCGCGAUCGGAGCGGCCGAUGUCAGAUUAGGUAGUUGGUGGGGUAAAGGCCUACCAAGCCGACGAUCUGUAGCUGGUCUGAGAUGACGACCAGCCACACUGGGACUGAGACACGGCCCAGACUCCUACGGGAGGCAGCAGUGGGGAAUUUUGGACAAUGGGCGCAAGCCUGAUCCAGCCAUUCCGCGUGCAGGACGAAGGCCUUCGGGUUGUAAACUGCUUUUGUAUGGAACGAAAAGGCUCUGGCUAAUACCUGGGGCUCAUGACGGUACCGUAAGAAUAAGCACCGGCUAACUACGUG
rnacentral:rRNA from 1 species